UGGGGAAUUUUGGACAAUGGGGGCAACCCUGAUCCAGCCAUCCCGCGUGUGCGAUGAAGGCCUUCGGGUUGUAAAGCACUUUUGGCAGGGAAGAAACAGCCUGGGAUAAUACCCCGGGCGACUGACGGUACCUGCAGAAUAAGCACCGGCUAACUACGUGCCAGCAGCCGCGGUAAUACGUAGGGUGCAAGCGUUAAUCGGAAUUACUGGGCGUAAAGCGUGCGCAGGCGGUUCGGAAAGAAAGGUGUGAAAUCCCAGGGCUUAACCUUGGAACUGCACUUUUAACUACCGAGCUAGAGUACGUCAGAGGGGGGUAGAAUUCCACGUGUAGCAGUGAAAUGCGUAGAGAUGUGGAGGAAUACCGAUGGCGAAGGCAGCCCCCUGGGCCAAUACUGACGCUCAUGCACGAAAGCGUGGGGAGCAAACAGGAUUAGAUACCCUGGUAGUCCACGCCCUAAACGAUGUCAACUAGUUGUUGGGGAUUCAUUUCCUUAGUAACGUAGCUAACGCGUGAAGUUGACCGCCUGGGGAGUACGGUCGCAAGAUUAAAACUUAAAUGAAUUGACGGGG
rnacentral:rRNA from 1 species